GCAGGACUCUGGUUGAACAGCAACUCUCUCAAUAACGAUUUAUCCAGAUCAAUAGCAGUUGGAGGAUGGCCAUUCCCAUUUGCGUACACAAAUAUCUGAGCCUGUUGCAUCAAAUCAUUUGAAUUUGCCUCUUGCGAGAACAUAUCAAGAGUACUCUGUCCAUUAGUCAGCAUUGCUGCUGCAACAAAAAUAGCCUUUGAAGUUUUAUGAGGAAACAACUCCAUUGCAUACGAUAUACUCGCACCACCAAAAUCGUGCCCCACCAAAAUCACCUUCUCCCCAUCAGCAAGUUUUUCAAAAAAAUUGGUAAGGGGUUUCACAUAUUGAGAAAGAUUGGUAAUGUCAUUUGUGUCAAAAGAAUGAACCCCAGAGCCAGUUAAGUCUAUUGCAGUAACUUUGAAACCACCCUCUUCUAGAAGAGCUAUUGUUUUGUACCAACACCAGGCACCAAAGCCUCCCCCAUGGACAAGAACGAAAUGGUUCGUCUCAAGUUCAUCGAGCUUAAUAUCCUGGUUAACAAGCUGGUGAGGCUGCAACAACGGGUCAGUAAGAGACAGGGCUCUCGAAGU
rnacentral:misc_RNA from 1 species